CUAGUCCCUUUANUGACUAUAAUUAGUGGCGAAAGGGCGAGGAAUAAAUAGGUAACGUACCCUGAACAUCGGAAUAGCGUCUGGAUGCUUGCAUCCUUCCGAAAGGGGCAGUAAUACCGAAUAAUAUCUUUUAACUCAAGUUUAAAGAUCAAAGAUUUAUCGGUUUGGGAGCGGCCUAUUUCCCAUCAGCUAGUUGGUAAGGUAAUGGCUUACCAAGGCAACGACGGGUAUCGGGACUGAGAGGUUGACCCGACGCAUCGGAACUGAGACACUGUCCGGACCUCCACGGAGGGCUGCAGUAACGAAUAUUGCACAAUGGGCGAAAGCCUGAUGCAGCAACGCCGCGUGUAGGAUGAAGCUCCUCGGAGUGUAAACUCUGUCAGGGGUUANAAAGUGCCCUUANGCNCAUUNGUCANCCCAAAAGAANUCCGGCUACUUCUGCCACCANCCNCGUAAUACAAAGUGGCAGCNUUUUCCGAAUAUUGGCNUAAAAACCCUUAGCCGAUCAAAANUUNUUUNAACCCCNCUUAACCGGAAUUCUUGCACUUUAANUUAAUCANUNGGUCCUGACUUUNUGACCGG
rnacentral:rRNA from 1 species